UACGUAGGGGGCAAGCGUUGUCCGGAAUCAUUGGGCGUAAGGCGCGUGUAGGCGGUCCGGUAAGUCCGCUGUGAAAGUCGGGGGCUCAACCCUCGGAUGCCGGUGGAUACUGUCGGGCUUGAGUACGGAAGAGGCGAGUGGAAUUCCUGGUGUAGCGGUGAAAUGCGCAGAUAUCAGGAGGAACACCGAUUGCGAAGGCAGCUCGCUGGGACGUAACUGACGCUGAGACGCGAAAGCGUGGGGAGCAAACAGG
rnacentral:rRNA from 1 species